UGGGGAAUAUUGCACAAUGGGCGCAAGCCUGAUGCAGCCAUGCCGCGUGUAUGAAGAAGGCCUUCGGGUUGUAAAGUACUUUCAGCGGGGAGGAAGGGAGUAAAGUUAAUACCUUUGCUCAUUGACGUUACCCGCAGAAGAAGCACCGGCUAACUCCGUGCCAGCAGCCGCGGUAAUACGGAGGGUGCAAGCGUUAAUCGGAAUUACUGGGCGUAAAGCGCACGCAGGCGGUUUGUUAAGUCAGAUGUGAAAUCCCCGGGCUCAACCUGGGAACUGCAUCUGAGACUGGCAAGCUUGAGUCUCGUAGAGGGGGGUAGAAUUCCAGGUGUAGCGGUGAAAUGCGUAGAGAUAUGGAGGAAUACCGGUGGCGAAGGCGGACCCCGGGACGAAGACAGACGCUCAGGUGCGAAAGCGUGGGGAGCAAACAGG
rnacentral:rRNA from 1 species